rnacentral:rRNA from 1 species
CGCGUAGGUAACCUGCCUGGUAGCGGGGGAUAACUAUUGGAAACGAUAGCUAAUACCGCAUAACAUUGACUAUUGCAUGAUAGUCAAUUAAAAGGUGCAAUUGCACCACUACCAGAUGGACCUGCGUUGUAUUAGCUAGUUGGUGGGGUAACGGCUCACCAAGGCGACGAUACAUAGCCGACCUGAGAGGGUGAUCGGCCACACUGGGACUGAGACACGGCCCAG